AUACGUAGGGUGCAAGCGUUAAUCGGAAUUACUGGGCGUAAAGCGUGCGCAGGCGGUUUUGUAAGACAGAGGUGAAAUCCCCGGGCUCAACCUGGGAACUGCCUUUGUGACUGCAAGGCUAGAGUACGGCAGAGGGGGAUGGAAUUCCGCGUGUAGCAGUGAAAUGCGUAGAUAUGCGGAGGAACACCGAUGGCGAAGGCAAUCCCCUGGGCCUGUACUGACGCUCAUGCACGAAAGCGUGGGGAGCAAACAGGAUUAGAUACCCUGGUAGUCCACGCCCUAAACGAUGUCAACUGGUUGUUGGGUCUUCAUUGACUCAGUAACGAAGCUAACGCGUGAAGUUGACCGCCUGGGGAGUACGGCCGC
rnacentral:rRNA from 1 species